rnacentral:rRNA from 1 species
AGAGCUUGCUCUUAUGGGUGGCGAGUGGCGGACGGGUGAGGAAUACAUCGGAAUCUACCUUUUCGUGGGGGAUAACGUAGGGAAACUUACGCUAAUACCGCAUACGACCUUCGGGUGAAAGCAGGGGACCUUCGGGCCUUGCGCGGAUAGAUGAGCCGAUGUCGGAUUAGCUAGUUGGCGGGGUAAAGGCCCACCAAGGCGACGAUCCGUAGCUGGUCUGAGAGGAUGAUCAGCCACACUGGAACUGAGACACGGUCCAGACUCCUACGGGAGGCAGCAGUGGGGAAUAUUGGACAAUGGGCGCAAGCCUGAUCCAGCCAUACCGCGUGGGUGAAGAAGGCCUUCGGGUUGUAAAGCCCUUUUGUUGGGAAAGAAAAGCAAUCGGUUAAUACCCGGUUGUUCUGACGGUACCCAAAGAAUAAGCACCGGCUAACUUCGUGCCAGCAGCCGCGGUAAUACGAAGGGUGCAAGCGUUACUCGGAAUUACUGGGCGUAAAGCGUGCGUAGGUGGUUGUUUAAGUCUGUUGUGAAAGCCCUGGGCUCAACCUGGGAAUUGCAGUGGAUACUGGGCGACUAGAGUGUGGUAGAGGGUAGUGGAAUUCCCGGUGUAGCAGUGAAAUGCGUAGAGAUCGGGAGGAACAUCCAUGGCGAAGGCAGCUACCUGGACCAACACUGAC